rnacentral:rRNA from 1 species
GACGAACGCUGGCGGCGUGCUUAACACAUGCAAGUCGAACGGAAAGGCCCUGCUUUUGUGGGGUGCUCGAGUGGCGAACGGGUGAGUAACACGUGAGUAACCUUCCCUUGACUUUGGGAUAACUUCAGGAAACUGGGGCUAAUACCGGAUAGGAGCUCCUGCUGCAUGGUGGGGGUUGGAACGUUUCGGCGGUUGGGGAUGGACUCGCGGCUUAUCAGCUUGUUGGUGGGGUAGUGGCUUACCAAGGCUUUGACGGGUAGCCGGCCUGAGAGGGUGACCGGCCACAUUGGGACUGAGAUACGGCCCAGACUCCUACGGGAGGCAGCAGUGGGGAAUAUUGCACAAUGGGCGGAAGCCUGAUGCAGCAACGCCGCGUGCGGGAUGACGGCCUUCGGGUUGUAAACCGCUUUCGCCUGUGACGAAGCGUGAGUGACGGUAAUGGGUAAAGAAGCACCGGCUAACUACGUG